ACAAAUCCCAGUCUGCCGAA
rnacentral:miRNA from 8 species